AACGAACGCUGGCGGCAUGCCUAACACAUGCAAGUCGAACGAGACCUUCGGGUCUAGUGGCGCACGGGUGCGUAACGCGUGGGAAUCUGCCCUUUGCUUCGGAAUAACACAGAGAAAUUUGUGCUAAUACCGGAUAAUGUCGCAAGACCAAAGAUUUAUCGGCAAAGGAUGAGCCCGCGUAAGAUUAGGUAGUUGGUGGGGUAAUGGCCUACCAAGCCGACGAUCUUUAGCUGGUCUGAGAGGAUGAUCAGCCACACUGGGACUGAGACACGGCCCAGACUCCUACGGGAGGCAGCAGUGGGGAAUAUUGGACAAUGGGCGAAAGCCUGAUCCAGCAAUGCCGCGUGAGUGAUGAAGGCCUUAGGGUUGUAAAGCUCUUUUACCUAGGGAUGAUAAUGACAGUACCUGGAGAAUAAGCUCCGGCUAACUCCGUG
rnacentral:rRNA from 1 species